AUUAUUUGGAGGACAAGAAAUUUAAUUUACUGUUGAGCAAUUUAAUCUGCAAUAGAACAUAUCAUACAGUUUUGUCGUAGAGAAGAAGGCACAAUGUGAGCCAAACCAUCCAUCCCACCUCAAUGCAAUUAAAGCGAAUCUAUACGACACCAAUUCCCACAAAUAAUUUUCUCUUAAUCGGUCUCUAAUAUAUAUAAUAUUGUUCAAGUAAGUUUUAGGUUAUGACAUCAGCUUUGGAUCCUCUUCCGGUUGCUUUGAUCGACGCCGACGCGGCGCGCAAGUCGCUCAUCGUUGUCAGAUGCGGACUCCGUCGAGGCAGAAGUUGCAGAUCCUCGUUCUUCCAAAGUUUCAAGAAAAUCUGUUGUUUGUGAUCUUUGAAUCCUCGUCUGGGUUCCUGGAAUCGUACCAAUCGUAUUAAAGCUGCGAUCUUUUUGAUAUUUCAAUGUCGACCCGAUUAAGGGUUUCUCUGUCCGUGCCCACUGCUCGAGGAGAAGAACCUGAAUCAUCUUCGUCGAAUCUGAUAACUUGUGGUAGGUAGAGGCGACAAAUGAAGAUGCUUCGAUGCAUGCGUGUUGGACCUGCAAUUGGUGAUGAAGGCAGUGCCGUGGUCGGGGAUGCUACUGAGCGUUUGGACCAUUUCGUGGACGAGCUGAGGAGGAAUAGAAGUGGUAUGCAUGUGGAAUCUCCAUUUACUGAUUCAAAUGCUGGGAGCCUGGUGCUGCAGAUGGAUUCAACAGGACUUAAUGUUGAUGGAAUCUAAUAUCAAGUGGAGCAGCACUUGCCAACAUGGUGGCCAUGUACUCUUACCUGCUUUAGUGUCACAUAAAACAAGGUUAUGUUGUCAUGACCUACUCUGUAAACUCUUCCAACCCAUGAUUCCAUCUUUUCUUGAAUUAUAUUGCAAUAACCAUGGAUUAAGAGCACAAUGUGAAACCGUGUUUCAUUCACAGUGACACUCAAAGUCUAUCUGAAGGACCAUAAUACUUUUGUUUCUGUACGCUAGUCCGAAUCAGCAGCAUCAUAGACAGCAUCAUAAACUAUGUUUUCGCACUAAAAGUUGAGUACAGCGAGAAGCAGUCAAGUCAUAUGAUUAGUGGAUUGUGCUAAUGGAGGAUUAAUUCCACAAGGAGCAUGUGCCAGUGCUGCCAAGGUUCUUUCAUUUGGUUGUUCAGAUGGGGACACUGCCAAUGUUAGUUGAGAAAUCUGUCUCAAGCUCAAUCAUUGCACGCAAGAACCGAUUCCGAUAGUAAACCUACCUAUUAUCGGUGUGCAGUGGACCCAAUACAAUUCACCUUUUGAGAAGGAGCUAAACUGGUUUUUUCCUUUUGAAUUCUUUGAACUCAUCAUUAUGUGAGAGGGAGAGAGUGGUGGUUUUCUUGUUACUUCAUGUUGCCAGUAGGAUCCUCCUCUUAUUUCUCCUUGGAACUCUUCUCAGCAGUCUCAGGUUAAGAUGGAUCAAAUUCCAUCCCUCUUUCUGCCAAACAUUCUUUAGCAGGAAGUAUUUGUUUGCAUGCAAUCCACGCAGGAUUGAGAUGCCAGAUUCCCUUCCAUGGUUGCUGAUUAGGAUCAUCUUCCUUCCACCUCUGCAAGCUUGAAACCAUCUUUUGCGCUGUGCCAAACAAAACUAGCAGACAGGCAUCCGAUCCCCAUGUUAUGGAUCUGUUCUGCCUCAGAAGAACAAGGAUUGCAUGAAAUGAGCUGCCUCUUUCCAGCUUUUGGUUCAGAGGGUUGUUCAUGGAACUUGGCUUCACUAUGUAUUGAUU